UACGUAGGUGGCAAGCGUUGUCCGGAAUUAUUGGGCGUAAGCGCGCGCAGGCGGUCCUUUAAGUCUGAUGUGAAAGCCCCACGGCUCAACCGUGAGGGUCAUUGGAAACUGGGGGACUUGAGUGCAGAAGAGGAAAGCGGAAUUCCACGUGUAGCGGUGAAAUGCGUAGAGAUGUGGAGGAACACCAGUGGCGAAGGCGGCUUUCUGGUCUGUAACUGACGCUGAGGCGCGAAAGCGUGGGGAGC
rnacentral:rRNA from 1 species